rnacentral:rRNA from 1 species
AUACGGAGGGUGCAAGCGUUAAUCGGAAUUACUGGGCGUAAAGCGUACGUAGGCGGUUAUUUAAGUCAGAUGUGAAAGCCCCGGGCUUAACUUGGGAACUGCAUUUGAAACUGGGUAACUAGAGUUUAGUAGAGGGGAGUGGAAUUUCAGGUGUAGCGGUGAAAUGCGUAGAGAUCUGAAGGAACACCAGUGGCGAAGGCGACUCCCUGGACUAGAACUGACGCUGAGGUACGAAAGCGUGGGUAGCAAACAGGAUUAGAUACCCGAGUAGUCC